rfam:Treponema denticola ATCC 35405, complete genome.
GCGGACAUGGAUGUCCGUGGUUCCAACUUCAAGAGUUUGCGCUUGCCACAAACUCUAAGCUGAAAAUCGGACACGGAUGUCCGAUUUUCAGCGAAC